ACGCACGCGCGAGCUGCGCCGAAAACGCGUGCAUGUUAGGAAUAGGACCGACACCUAUUUUGCACGCGACACGCAAGCGUGUUGGAAGCGUUUCCAUUCAAAAUAGAA